rnacentral:rRNA from 1 species
AUUGAACGCUGGCGGCAUGCUUUACACAUGCAAGUCGAACGGAAACAGGCCGCAAGUUGCUGACGAGUGGCUAACGGGUGAGUAAUUCAUCGGAACGUGCCCAGUCGUUGGGGAUAACUACUCGAAAGAGUAGCUAAUACCGCAUACGAUCUAUGGUUGAAAGCGGGGGACCGUAAGGCCUCGCGCGAUUGGAGCGGCCGAUGUCAGAUUAGGUAGUUGGUGGGGUAAAGGCUCACCAAGCCAACGAUCUGUAGCUGGUCUGAGAGGAAGACCAGCCACGCUGGAACUGAGACACGGCCCAGACUCCUACGGGAGGCAGCAGUGGGGAAUGUUGGGCAAUGGGCGCAAGCCUGACCCAGCAAUGCCGCGUGUGGGAAGAAGGCCUUCGGGCUGUAAACUGCUUUUGUACGGAAUGAAACGGCUUCGGUUAAUACCCGGCGCUAAUGACGGUACCGUAUGAAUAAGCACCGGCUAACUACGUG